rnacentral:rRNA from 1 species
GACGAGCGCUGGCGGCGUGCUUAACACAUGCAAGUCGAACGGAAAGGCCCUGCUUUUGUGGGGUGCUCGAGUGGCGAACGGGUGAGUAACACGUGAGUAACCUGCCCUUGACUUUGGGAUAACUUCAGGAAACUGGGGCUAAUACCGGAUAGGAGCUCCUGCUGCAUGGUGGGGGUUGGAAAGUUUCGGCGGUUGGGGAUGGACUCGCGGCUUAUCAGCUUGUUGGUGGGGUAGUGGCUUACCAAGGCUUUGACGGGUAGCCGGCCUGAGAGGGUGACCGGCCACAUUGGGACUGAGGUACGGCCCAGACUCCUACGGGAGGCAGCAGUGGAGAAUAUUGCCCAAUGGGCGGAAGCCUGAUGCAGCAGCGCCGCGUGCGGGAUGACGGCCUUCGGGUUGUAAACCGCUUUCGCCUGUGACGAAGCGUGAGUGACGGUAAUGGGUAAAGAAGCACCGGCUAACUACGUG